rnacentral:pre_miRNA from 1 species
AAUAAGACCAUUUUUAAGUUUUUUCAUAUAAUAUUUUAACUCUUCGUUUUAUUGAAAUUUUUUUGCGAUUAAUAAUUUUAUUCUUUCUAGAUGAUAAAACAUGAAUAAUAUUUUAUAUGUGACUAUUUUUUUAAGUUCUUGUAAAAAUUUUUCAAAUAAGACGAAUGGUCAAACAUUGGACACGAAAAAACA